rnacentral:rRNA from 1 species
AUUGAACGCUGGCGGCAGGCCUAACACAUGCAAGUCGAACGAGUGGCGGACGGGUGAGUAAUGUCUGGGAAACUGCCCGAUGGAGGGGGAUAACUACUGGAAACGGUAGCUAAUACCGCAUACCAUCGGAUGUGCCCAGAUGGGAUUAGCUAGUAAGUGGGGUAACGGCUAACCUAGGCUACGAUCCCUAGCUGGUCUGAGAGGAUGACCAGCACCAUUUGACUGGAGACUCGGUCCAGACUCCUACGGGAGUGCGCAGUGGGGAAUAUUGCACAAUGGGCGCAAGCCUGAUGCAGCCAUGCCGCGUGUAUGAAGAAGGCCUUCGGGUUGUAAAGUACUUUCAGCGAGGAGGCGUUACUCGCAGAAGAAGCACCGGCUAACGCCGUGCCAGCAGCCGCGGUAAUAC